rnacentral:rRNA from 1 species
AUUGAACGCUGGCGGAAUGCUUUACACAUGCAAGUCGAACGGCAGCACGGACUUCGGUCUGGUGGCGAGUGGCGAACGGGUGAGUAAUACAUCGGAACGUGCCCAGUCGUGGGGGAUAACGUAGCGAAAGCUACGCCAAUACCGCAUACGAUCUAAGGAUGAAAGCGGGGGAUCGCAAGACCUCGCGCGAUUGGAGCGGCCGAUGGCAGAUUAGGUAGUUGGUAGGGUAAAGGCCUACCAAGCCGACGAUCUGUAGCUGGUCUGAGAGGAUGAUCAGCCACACUGGGACUGAGACACGGCCCAGACUCCUACGGGAGGCAGCAGUGGGGAAUUUUGGACAAUGGGCGCAAGCCUGAUCCAGCCAUUCCGCGUGCAGGAUGAAGGCCUUCGGGUUGUAAACUGCUUUUGUACAGGACGAAAAGGCUCUGGUUAAUACCCGGGGCUCAUGACGGUACUGUAAGAAUAAGCACCGGCUAACUACGUGCCAGCAGCCGCGGUAA